GCCGGCCUAGCUCCAUUGGUAGAGCAACUGACUUGUAAUCAGUAGGUUGGGGGUUCAAGUCCUCUGGCCGGCACCA
rnacentral:tRNA from 1 species